GCCGGAAGAUGACGUCAUCUUCCGGCUCCGGCAUCAGUACGGUGCGCGUGCUUCCUCUUCAGCUCCCUCGCGCACCGUACUGAUGCCGGAGCCGGAAGAUGACGUCA